CAGCAGAAUGUGAUGUGACAUGAUUUUGCUGAGGCUUUUGACACAGUCCUAUGUGACAGUCUCAUAAGAAAAACUAGGGAAAUGUGAUCUAGAUGAAUUUACU